rnacentral:rRNA from 1 species
AAAGUCUGACCUGCCCAAUGAAUAUUAUUUUAAAUGGCCGCGAUAUUUUGAUCGUGCUAAGGUAGCAUAAUAAUUAGUUUUUUAAUUGAGAACUGGUAUGAAUGGUUGGACGAGAAAAAAGCUGUCUCAGCUUAAUUUUAAUUAGAAUUUUAUAUUUAAGUUAAAAAGCUUAAAUAAUUUUAAAAGACGAGAAGACCCUAUAGAGUUUUAUAUAAAAUAUAUUUUUAAUAUUAAAGUAUUUAAAUUUUAUAAAUUUAUUUUAUAUUUAGUUGGGGUGACUUAAAAAUUAAAUAAACUUUUUAUUAAUUAAACCAUUAAUUUAUGAUUAAUUGAUCCA